CCUACGGGUGGCUGCAGUGGGGAAUAUUGGACAAUGGGGGGAACCCUGAUCCAGCCAUGCCGCGUGUGUGAAGAAGGCCCUCGGGUUGUAAAGCACUUUCAGUGAGGAAGAACGCCUGGUGGUUAAUACCCAUCAGGAAAGACAUCACUCACAGAAGAAGCACCGGCUAACUCCGUGCCAGCAGCCGCGGUAAUACGGAGGGUGCGAGCGUUAAUCGGAAUUACUGGGCGUAAAGCGCGCGUAGGUGGCUUGAUAAGCCGGUUGUGAAAGCCCCGGGCUCAACCUGGGAACGGCAUCCGGAACUGUCAAGCUAGAGUGCAGGAGAGGAAGGUAGAAUUCCCGGUGUAGCGGUGAAAUGCGUAGAGAUCGGGAGGAAUACCAGUGGCGAAGGCGGCCUUCUGGACUGAAACUGACGCUGAGGUGCGAAAGCGUGGGUAGCAAACAGGAUUAGAUACCCCAGUAGUC
rnacentral:rRNA from 1 species